rnacentral:rRNA from 1 species
GAUGAACGCUGGCGGCGUGCUUAACACAUGCAAGUCGAACGAGAAGUGAAGACGGAAACCUUCGGGCGGAAGGCUUUAUUUCGAGUGGCGGACGGGUGAGUAACGCGUGGGUAACCUGCCUCAUACAGGGGAAUACCAGUUGGAAACAACUUUAAAUCCGGCAAAAGACCACAGCACCGCUGGUUGCGGGGGUAAAAACUCCGUGGGUAUGAGAGGAACCCCCGUCCGAUUAGCCAGUUGGGGGGUUAACGCCCAACCAAAGCGACGAUCGAUAGCCGAUCUGAGAGGAUGACCGGCCACAUUGGGACUGAGACACGGCCCAAACUCCUACGGGAGGCAGCAGUGGGGAAUAUUGCACAAUGGGGGAAACCCUGAUGCAGCGACGCCGCGUGAGUGAAGAGGUAUUUCGGUAUGUAAAGCUCUAUCAGCAGGGAAGAAAAUGACGGUACCUGAGUAAGAAGCCCCGGCUAACUACGUG